UGGGGAAUAUUGGACAAUGGGCGGAAGCCUGAUCCAGCCAUGCCGCGUGUGUGAAGAAGGCCUUUUGGUUGUAAAGCACUUUAAGCGAGGAGGAGGCUCUUCUAGUUAAUACCUAGGAUGAGUGGACGUUACUCGCAGAAUAAGCACCGGCUAACUCUGUGCCAGCAGCCGCGGUAAUACAGAGGGUGCGAGCGUUAAUCGGAUUUACUGGGCGUAAAGCGUGCGUAGGCGGCUGAUUAAGUCGGAUGUGAAAUCCCUGGGCUUAACUUAGGAAUUGCAUUCGAAACUGGUCGGCUAGAGGAUGGGAGAGGAUGGUAGAAUUCCGGGUGUAGCGGUGAAAUGCGUAGAGAUCUGGAGGAAUACCGAUGGCGAAGGCAGCCAUCUGGCAUAAUACUGACGCUGAGGUACGAAAGCAUGGGGAGCAAACAGG
rnacentral:rRNA from 1 species